rnacentral:rRNA from 1 species
GAUGAACGCUGGCGGCGUGCCUAAUACAUGCAAGUCGAGCGAACAGACGAGGAGCUUGCUCCUCUGACGUUAGCGGCGGACGGGUGAGUAACACGUGGAUAACCUACCUAUAAGACUGGGAUAACUUCGGGAAACCGGAGCUAAUACCGGAUAAUAUAUUGAACCGCAUGGUUCAAUAGUGAAAGACGGUUUUGCUGUCACUUAUAGAUGGAUCCGCGCCGCAUUAGCUAGUUGGUAAGGUAACGGCUUACCAAGGCAACGAUGCGUAGCCGACCUGAGAGGGUAAUCGGCCACACGGGAACUGGGACACGGUCCAGACUCCUACGGGAGGCAGCAGUAGGGAAUCUUCCGCAAUGGGCGAAAGCCUGACGGGGCAACGCCGCGUGAGUGAUGAAGGUCUUCGGAUCGUAAAACUCUGUUAUUAGGGAAGAACAAAUGUGUAAGUAACUAUGCACGUCUUGACGGUACCUAAUCAGAAAGCCACGGCUAACUACGG